AUACGUAGGGUGCGAGCGUUGUCCGGAAUUACUGGGCGUAAAGAGCUCGUAGGUGGUUUGUCGCGUCGUCUGUGAAAUUCCGGGGCUUAACUCCGGGCGUGCAGGCGAUACGGGCAUAACUUGAGUACUGUAGGGGAGACUGGAAUUCCUGGUGUAGCGGUGAAAUGCGCAGAUAUCAGGAGGAACACCGGUGGCGAAGGCGGGUCUCUGGGCAGUAACUGACGCUGAGGAGCGAAAGCAUGGGUAGCGAACAGGAUUACAUACCCUGGUAGUCCAUGCCGUAAACGGUGGGCGCUAGGUGUAGGGGUCUUCCACGACUUCUGUGCCGUAGCUAACGCAUUAAGCGCCCCGCCUGGGGAGUACGGCCGCAAGGCUAAAACUUAAAGGAAUUGACGGGG
rnacentral:rRNA from 1 species